AUCCAGCUGACGAGCCCCAAAUAGAACGAAUUAGUACCCGUCCUGGAU
rnacentral:hammerhead_ribozyme from 1 species